rnacentral:rRNA from 1 species
CAAUAGCGUAUAUUAAAGUUGUUGCAGUUAAAAAGCUCGUAGUAGGAUUUCGGGGCAGCCUGGCUGGUCCGCCGCAAGGCGAGUACUGGUCAGCCGCCCUUCCUCUCGAAAGCCCCGACUGCUCUUCGUUGCAGUGGUCGGGUAGUUCGGGACGUUUACUUUGAAAAAAUUAGAGUGUUCAAGGCAGGCCUACGCCUGAAUACAUUAGCAUGGAAUAAUGGAAGAGGACCUCGGUCCUAUUUUGUUGGUUUCCAGGGCCGAAGUAAUGAUUAAGAGGGACAGUUGGGGGCAUUCGUAUUUAAUUGUCAGAGGUGAAAUUCUCGGAUUUAUGAAAGACGAACAACUGCGAAAGCAUUUGCCAAGGAUGUUUUCAUUAA